ensembl:misc_RNA 7SK 7SK RNA
GAGUAAGAUCUGGAUAUGGCAUCAGUAAUUCUAUUGAUCUCCAGGUUGAUUGGACUGAUCUGUUUGGUUAGGUGAGUGUCCCCUUUCUUCCUUCUCCACUUUGUUUAUUUUGUUCUUGAAGAUGAAUUCUGAGUUGAAGAAGACAACCUUCUCCAAUAGAAGAUGACCCAUCUUUCAUGAAGGGUGUAUGAGUAGCUGUGUUCCCCUGUCAGAACCCUAAAUAUCUUUAUAUUCAUUCUUUUAAAGCUUUUAUUAAUAGGCCUACCACAUCAAUAAUGUGGAAAUGA